GCAUUACUGAGGAGUCCCACAAUAGGACGAAACGGUCGUCCACUGC
rnacentral:hammerhead_ribozyme from 1 species